UACGUAGGGUGCAAGCGUUGUCCGGAAUUAUUGGGCGUAAAGAGCUUGUAGGCGGUUUGUCGCGUCUGCUGUGAAAUUUCGGGGCUCAACCCCGAACUUGCAGUGGGUACGGGCAGACUAGGAGUGUGUAGGGGAGAUCGGAAUUCCUGGUGUAGCGGUGAAAUGCGCAGAUAUCAGGAGGAACACCGGUGGCGAAGGCGGAUCUCUGGGCCAUUACUGACGCUGAGGAGCGAAAGCGUGGGGAGCGAACAGG
rnacentral:rRNA from 1 species